GGCUCGUUAGCUCAGUCGGUUAGAGCGUGGUGCUAAUGACGCGAAGGCCGUGGGUUCGAUUGCCACACGAGCCA
rnacentral:tRNA from 1 species